rnacentral:rRNA from 1 species
CUACGGGCCGCAGCAGUGGGGAAUAUUGGACAAUGGGGGAAACCCUGAUCCAGCAAUGCCGCGUGUGUGAAGAAGGCCUGCGGGUUGUAAAGCACUUUCGGUUGGGAGGACUGCUUCUAGCACUAAUAUUGUUGGAAGUUGACGUUACCUUCAGAAGAAGCACCGGCUAACUCCGUGCCAGCAGCCGCGGUAAUCCGGAGGGUGCAAGCGUUAAUCGGAAUUACUGGGCGUAAAGCGCGCGUAGGCGGCUAGAUCAGUCGGGUGUGAAAGCCCCGGGCUUAACCUGGGAACUGCAUCAGAAACUGUCUAGCUUGAGUACAGGAGAGGAGAGUGGAAUUCCACAUGUAGCGGUGAAAUGCGUAGAUAUGUGGAGGAACACCAAUGGCGAAGGCAGCUCUCUGGCCUGAUACUGACGCUGAGGUGCGAAAGCGUGGGGAGCAAACAGGAUUAGAUACCCUAGUAGUC